AUGAAGAUACCGGUCCAUUAUGAUUAUAAAGAACACACCCCGUACUUCAUUUCAUGUCUUCAACUCACAGCCCUAAGCAAAGUAAAGUAUGGGUACUUAUUUAUUUGACAAAAAGUGAUGUAAAGGAAAUGACGAAUGGCAUGGAAAGUUGAAAAAAAAAUAAUAAUAAUCAAGUAUGUGUGGCUGGUAUUGACCCAUGAGUAUUGCACCAAAAUAUAUAUGUUGACUUUUGUGAGAAUUUUUUUUUGUCGACCAUGCUUCAUUCACAGAAAUCAUGUUCUACAAAUCUACACUCCAUCUAGAUUCAUCAUUGCAUCCUUAAAAAAAACUACACCUCUAGUUUUUUUUAUUCAAGACUUUUUUUUCUCUCAUUCUUAGCUCUCUUUUCCUCCCUUUCUCUUGACCGAAUUCAGCCCAAACAACCCCACAAAUCUUCCACACAGCCCAAAGUUCAAACAUUCAAGUGGUUUUGAGGUGUUUGUUCCAAGUUUAAGCUUCAAGCUUUAAGAUUCAAGCUUUUCUUCUCUAGUUUCUCAUACUGCCUUGUUUGCUUGUUGAUACGCAUAGGUCAUGUCGCACGUCCACGGACUUUGAUUUUAGCUACUUUCUUUGCUACAUUUGCUCGUGCAUCAGGUUGCAUUUUCAAAACUAUGGAACGGUUGGAAUAGGAGAA
rnacentral:lncRNA from 1 species